CUUAAAGUUUUAUAGGGUUCCGUAGUUUAAAAUAACUAGUCUGGUUCAAGAUAAAACGCACAGUAUACUGUGUUCACGGAAGGAUAAAAUCCUAGAAGAU
rnacentral:sRNA from 2 species